AUACCCUACGGGAGGCAGCAGUGAGGAAUAUUGGUCAAUGGACGAGAGUCUGAACCAGCCAAGUAGCGUGAAGGAUGACUGCCCUAUGGGUUGUAAACUUCUUUUAUAAAGGAAUAAAACGAGGCACGUGUGCCUUUUUGCAUGUACUUUAUGAAUAAGGAUCGGCUAACUCCGUGCCAGCAGCGGCGGUAAUACGGAGGAUCGGAGCGUUAUCGGGUUUUAUUGGGUUUAAGGGGGGCGUAGAUGGGUUGUUAAGUCAGUUGUGAAGGUUUGCGGCUAAAC
rnacentral:rRNA from 1 species